rnacentral:lncRNA from 1 species
AAUAUUAUGAUGAAAAUGAUGUUAGCUAAAAAAGUAGAAAUUAGAUGACACUGAAACAUAUAUUCAAUUUUAAUUUUUGUUUUUACUUCAAAUUUCUCAAGGUGUAAGACCAUCUGAUCAUUGAAUCUCAUUUUACAUCAAAAUAUUGAUGAUUCUGACACUCUUUGGACAUUCAUAAAAACUCUUUAAUAAAUCUUAGUUAUGGCAGCAAAUAUGUUUCAAAGAGAAUCGAAAGUGUGACAAUCUUUACAACAAUCCACUAUAUCAAAUCCAUACCAUCCAACAGCUCUGUGAAUGUGUAAUAUCUAGACGGAAUCACACACUAUCUUUAAAUAGUCAUUCAGCUAGAAAGAAAUAGCAGCCAAAUCUUCCUUAUCUCAAAUCCCAUAGCCUUAAACAAGAAACAACACAGUGGAUGAUGUAUUUCUAGAUACUCCUAAAAAUCUCAUGGCUGGAUAAUUUUUUCAUCAUAGGUUUGUUUUAGAUCAAGACUGAAUUUGAGCUAAAAUAUAAUUAAAAAAAAAAAAACAACCAACAGAUGAAACUCCAGCAAAAAAAUGACCAUAAAAAGAACUGGGCUAGUUCCUCUUUCACACUAAGAUCAAAAGGAAUUUUAGCUUAAAUUUGCUAAAUGGUCUGACAUCAUUCUUACAAUCCAGACAGUUUUUGUAUAUAUAUAUAGAAUUAAUUAGAAACAAAGCUCCCAUAUUUACCAUCUGUUUUAUUUCAAAUUCCCUGUUUACUUGAGGAUGUAUGAAUAUCCCUUCUGGAUUCUUUCUCUCAUACUCUUUACAUUUAUCCAACUUCUUUGGUCACUAAUAUUCAAAGUUUUGCAACAGAUGGGCUCCUAUCCUAGCCGAACUCUUUUUAAAACCAGUUUAACCUUUAUCCCUCUUAAGUUUUGUGGAAACGUGCAACAGUACUCUUAACAAAAAAAAAAAAAAGAAAGUUGUCUAACUUAUCACAUUGAAAAUUGCUUCUUUUACUAUCUUUAUUCAGAAUUUUUGAAAAGCUGAGCCAGAUUCAACAAAAAACCAAUUCGUUGUCAUGCACCGUGAUUUUUCAUCCUCCAGAAUUUCAGUGAAAGUUGUUUUUCUUGGCUCAUGCCAUAUGUCUAAUAUGAAGCCUCUCUACUAAUGAUUUCCAUUCAUCAUGACAUCACCUCUAUGUGGUAGCUCAUCCUGCUAGAAAUAGUAACCAAAUAUCCCACAAAAUAACACUACAGCAUAAAAAAAGGGAUGACAUUGGAUAAUAUCAUUCUAGAUACUCUUGAAAAGAGUUGAUUAGACUGUGAUGAGCUCUGCUAGUGAUGUACUGUAAGCAAGGCUGAUGUCAGAAUAUUCAAUGCCCAAGGCCAGUUCUGCAGCCCAGCAUUGUGUGACUCCUUUUCCCAACACUUUAACAUUCAGAUUACUCUGUCAGUCAUUGGACUGCGUUCAUGCUGGUUCACCACCUUGAAGGGUUUACUUGAUAAAAAGCUUGGUACAUAUUCUGUUAGGAUUUUUUUUUUUUUUUGCCAAACUGUUAAGUUACAGAGGCAUAAACAAAUAAACACCAAUCAAGAGUGCCAACACAAAGACGUACUCGUACACACACAUGUAUGUGUACGCAUAUAUAUAUCGAGUUUGUAUGAUUAUGUAUAGAAGAAUAUAUUAUCUACAGUCGUCAAUUUUUGAACACGACUCAUUACAUAAACCUGUUGAUUGCAUAAUGCAUGA